AAACCAACAGGGAUUGCCUCAGUAACGGCGAGUGAAGCGGCAAAAAGCUCAAAUUUGAAAUCUAACACUUUCAGUGUUCGAGUUGUAAUUUGAAGAAAGUUUCUCUGAGUAGUCCUUUAUCUAUGUUCCUUGGAACAGGACGUCAUAGAGGGUGAGAAUCCCGUAUGAUUUUGGAUACUAUUCUUUGUGAGAUUCUUUCGAAGAGUCGAGUUGUUUGGGAAUGCAGCUCUAAGUGGGUGGUAAAUUCCAUCUAAAGCUAAAUAUUGGCGAGAGACCGAUAGCGAACAAGUACAGUGAUGGAAAGAUGAAAAGAACUCUGAAGAGAGAGUGAAAAAGUACGUGAAAUUGCUGAAAGGGAAGGGCUUUAGGUCAGACUUGGUGUUUAAAUGAUUAUCUUCUCUUUUUGAGUUGUGCACUCGUUUUCACUGGGCCAAUAUCAGUUUUGUGGUAGAGCACCUACUGGAAUGUAGCUUUUCUCGGAUGAGUGUUAUAGCCUUUAGACGAUCUU
rnacentral:rRNA from 1 species